rnacentral:rRNA from 1 species
GGGAGCUUGCUCCCUGAUGUUAGCGGCGGACGGGUGAGUAACACGUGGGUAACCUGCCUGUAAGACUGGGAUAACUCCGGGAAACCGGGGCUAAUACCGGAUACUUGUUUGAACCGCAUGGUUCAAACAUAAAAGGUGGCUUCGGCUACCACUUACAGAUGGACCCGCGGCGCAUUAGCUAGUUGGUGAGGUAAUGGCUCACCAAGGCAACGAUGCGUAGCCGACCUGACAGGGUGAUCGGCCACACUGGGACUGAGACACGGCCCAGACUCCUACGGGAGGCAGCAGUAGGGAAUCUUCCGCAAUGGACGAAAGUCUGACGGAGCAACGCCGCGUGAGUGAUGAAGGUUUUCGGAUCGUAUAGCUCUGUUGUUACGGAAGAGCAAGUGCCGUUCAAAUAUGGCGGCACCUUGACGGUACCUAACCAGAAAGCCACGGCUAACUACGUGCCAGCAGCCGCGGUAAUACGUAUGUGGCAAGCGUUGU